ACCAUGACAGAUGGCAAACUUACAACACAUUGGACAUUUGAUGAUUUCAAUGCACAAGCGCACCGCCAGUUUUGUUGUGAGUUGUGACCCAAAAAAAAAAAGCGAGAAACCAAGAUGAAUUGAAGAGUUCUCAAAGCUAAAAACUUAAAAAAACCCCACAAAAAUGGCAGAACCCAAUAACCCGAAAACCCACCAUGAACGCCCAAAACCAUCUACCCCACAAUCAACAUCUAAAUCACCGUCAACAAAACCCUCAAUUGAAGCUUACAACAAUGGCAGCACCAUUAAUGGGUCUAAUUCGGGUCAAAGGGCCCAUUUUCCAAACCCACCCGAAUCAUUCAACCCGGAUGCUGCAACUUUGAGAGAUCAAUGGAGGUUUGCUAUAAGGCAAUACAGCAGAUGGUAUUCUCAUGCUUGGGGUACUGCUAUUCUUGCUGGUGGUGCCUUCUUUGCUCUUGGUUGGAUCAUCAAAGGUGGUAACCCUCUUCCUUCUAAAGAAUCUGAUCAUAGAAAAUCUGAGGGUUCUUCAACUUCUGCUCAAAAUCAAGGAGAAAAAUGAUAUUCUGGGAUGGAGAAACAGUUGCAGGCAGAACGUGCAUGAAAAUGUUGCAGGUUGUUUUAUUGCUGUACAUUGUGUCAUUAUGAGAUAUUAUGUUGGAGCUGACCUUCAGACCAUUGGCUUUAUGGAGUAUGGAUGUUAGUGACCCUUUCAAACUCCCUUUCAACCCCUGCUGAACUUGAGAGCUCGACUUUUUGCUUUACCCUGUGUGCUUGAUUCACUUCUUAUACUUGUAUAGUACUAGUAUGUGAUUGUACAGAAAGUCGAAAAUCUCUUUUUAGCUAUUAAUUUUGAAAAUGCUAACUCUGCAUUUUAGUGAUGGAGAUUGUUUUAACCUUUGUGGAAAUUCCAAAAAAGUUGUAUUUUUUUU